rnacentral:rRNA from 1 species
GACGAACGCUGGCGGCGUGCUUAACACAUGCAAGUCGAACGGUGAAGCGCCUUCCUUUUUGGUGGGUGUGGAUGAGUGGCGAACGGGUGAGUAACACGUGAGUAACCUGCCCCCUUCUUCUGGAUAACCGCAUGAAAGUGUGGCUAAUACGGGAUAUUCUGGGUCUGUCGCAUGAUGGGUCUGGGAAAGAUAUUGUUUCGGUGGGGGAUGGGCUCGCGGCCUAUCAGCUUGUUGGUGGGGUGAUGGCCUACCAAGGCGGUGACGGGUAGCCGGCCUGAGAGGGUGGACGGUCACACUGGGACUGAGACACGGCCAGACUCCUACGGGAGGCAGCAGUGGGGAAUAUUGCACAAUGGGCGCAAGCCUGAUGCAGCGACGCCGCGUGAGGGAUGGAGGCCUUCGGGGUGUGAACCUCUUUCGCCAGUGAAGCAGGCCUGCCUCGUUUGUGGGUGGGUUGACGGUAGCUGGAUAAGAAGCGCCGGCUAACUACGUG